rnacentral:ncRNA from 1 species
UAAAUAUCGAUGAAAGAGCGAGUAAGUAACUAAAUGCUUUAUAAGAGAGGAUCGUCGUGGCUGAGAGCGAUCUAAAACAAGUAGUUUCUGAAAGACACUCUGGAGAUGGACGCGUGCAAAGCCGUCCCGUAAACGAGCGUUAAUCGUGAGAGGAAAGAGCAAUCUUUCAAAUAUAGGUGGUACCGUGUAUGAAAUAAUCAUUCACCCUUGUU